UUUGAUUUAUUGUAUUAGCAUAUCAGUUUUUCGUACUGUUGGAGAGCUUGCUCAAUCAAAA
rnacentral:tRNA from 1 species